UUAGCUUUUAUAAGUACCAUGAAAUUUAAUGCAGUUUAAGUGGCCUAAAUUAAGUGUGCUCCAGCUGUAACCAAAAUGCCUGAGUACAGAUUGUGCAUAAUGUUGUGAACCAGCAAAGCAACCUGAAGGAAACUUUUAUACAGCAAAGUUCACAACUACAUAUUUUGUCUCUCUUUAAAAUUUUUCUCUUCCUCUUGUCAGAGUAGGGAGCAGUGAAGUGUCUUUGACGAAACUUCCUGUUGGAAUGCCUCACAUCAAUGCAGCUGCAGCUCUGCAGAUUUCCAUGCUGCUCUUUGCUCUUCCUGCACAGUAUUUCAUAUCUCAGUGGUACGGAACGGACUCUGCCGAGCGCAUCCAAAUAACAGAAAGGAUAAUUGCCUCUUGGAGCAUCUCAACAAGAUCUUCCUUGAGUCUGGAUGCGUGGGCAGAUCGUUUAAAGCUGUGGCUCUCGAGGACAAGGAAUUGGUACUAUGGAGAGAACAAAACAAAGUGGUAACAAUGAAGCAAAACCCCAUUUUUAUCUUGCAGCAUCAGCUCAUGUUCACAGUCCAAAGCCUGAAUAUAUUAAGUUCCGUGUGGGCCAGGUAAUAAUUCACAGAAGAUUUGGCUACUCAGGAGUCAUUGUUGGAUGGGAUGUAAAAGCUAACACCCCAGAAGAACAACUACAACCCAGAUAUUCUCCAGUGAAACAGGUCUGAAUGUACUAAACUAUUGCUUUAUUAAUAUAUACACAGAAAAACUCAGGUUAAAAUACCCUCAGAAACACUGUUACAGACCAACUUCCUGCCAUCCUAGUGGAAAGUACUCCCGAGUUCUGCAUCACCUGUGCAGCUGAGUGGUACCUUUGCUGCUUCUGCACUGUGGUCCCGGUAUAGCUUGGCUUUUACACCACCAGUGGCUAACCUUUGCUGGUCAGGGCUGUAGUGGACAUAUCUGAAAUUAAAACUACUCACUUUUUAUACACAGUGUUGUAUUUGAAAUACCAGUGUCAACCUAUGAUGUCUGAAUUUCUCCUGCCAUGUCAUUAAAAUUGAGAAGCUGUUAAGUCCUUUAUCUGGUUAUCCAUAAUUGGUGCAUUUUCACUGCACUUAAGAAAUGCAAGUAAUGCUCUGUGUUUAAUCAGUUUCAGUGAAAAAGCAAUAUUUUUGAGGAUCUGGUUACUUGGAGUGUAAAACACAUUUCUGUUAGAAUUCUUAAAGCCUUUGAAUUUCUCUUGCCUAAGUCCUUGUGUUUGAAAAUCAAAUGCUAAAUCUUUGUUGACAGUGCUAAUCUGGUAAUGCAGUGCUGCAUACUGUGGCAGCAUGCCACUGACCUGCUGCUUAAGUGGCAGGACGAUACUAAUUAUUAAGUCAGAAGACUGAAAAUGGGGAAAACAUGAAAAUCUUCGUCUGUAGCAGAAAAUUCAUGUUCAGCUGGAUACUGACAUUCAGUCCCAUUUUGUGCAUUUGGUUCCUUCCCUGAUGUAGCUUUAAUCCAACUGUUCCUCAUCUUUGGUUUCUAAAACACCUGCAUCCUUGCUUUCUUUUCUCCUCAGCAGUGUUAUCACCAGCUGAACCCCCAAGAAUUUCCCAGAAGACAUUGAUCCUUUUUAUGUACCUUACAUUGCUCUGCUGUCCCAGCAGCCUUGCGUUCAUCUUUAUUGUUUUAAUUUCAAGAGUGAUGACAAGGGGUUUAAGAGUCUUUGCUGCUUUUAAGGUUUUAAUUGCCUUUGCCUAUCAUGUCAUAAGCACUUUGCAAAAUGCCUUCUGACCUUUAGGCUGCAGCUUACUGAGCUUGGUCCAUGCAAAUCCCUCAAAACAUCAGCCAAGUUUUCAGCCCACCUUUUCCUUGCCUUCCUCUGACUUCCAAUCUUUAUGAAAUCACUGAGCAGAGGCCACUGCCUGUUCAUUGAUCGAUACUGAUUGCUUCCUAAACUCCAUCUGUAUUCAUCCAUCACUUUUUUGUGUUUAGAUUGUGGGUAACUUUGGCCAGGAGUGUUUAUGGAUACCAGCGAAUAUCAUGGCCCAUAUUCCCUGGCCCAGGAUUUGUUUUCAUAAGCACUUCUUUAUUGGAAGAUUCAUGUAUAUAUACACAUAGAAGUUGCCUUAGCUCUUUCCAGGGACUGUGGUUGUUGGAGGUGGCAUUAUGUUCUGAACUUGUCUCUUCCUCUCUUGGAGUUUAGUUGUCACUUGUGAAGGAAAAAGGGUGGCAGGAGAUCAGCAUUGGGACUAUGUACAAAAAGCAAGGAUACUGAUCUAAAAGAUACUUCUUACUAUCGAAUUCUAAUUAACAAAGCAAAUGGAUUUGGCAAAUCUACAGCUUAUGUUUCUGAGGAAGAGAUAACAGUUAUUAUGGGAUUAGAGGUGUAUCACCCUGAUAUGGAAACCUACUUCAGUGGAUAUGACGGAUCGAAAUACAUUAUGCAGCCAUGGUUGAAAAAACUCUACCCUCAUGACUGAGUACUUCAGUGUCUGUACAUGUAAUGUACAUCCAGAUAACAGAUGUCCUUUUUAAAACUGAGCAAACAGACACCAGGAUAAAAUGUAUAUUUUUUUCUAUGAUGAAAUAAAACAGUCCUAAGCAGGAAAAAAAAAAAA